ensembl:snRNA U1 U1 spliceosomal RNA
AUACUUGCCUGGCAGGGGAGCUACCAUGAUCACAAAGGUGGUUUCCCAGGGCAAGGCUUACCCAUUUUACUCCGGAUGUGCUGACCCCUACGAUUUCCCCAAAUGCAGGAAAUUCGACUGCAUAAUCCGUGGUAGUGGGGGACUGCAUUCAUAUUCUCUCCUU